CUGAGAUUUGCUUAAAUGUAAUCUUGAGAACAGGAGAAUAAGAAUUAAUUUUAAUCUGUCAAUUUAUUUAAAUUUGGCAAAUAAGUCACCUGGAGAGCAAGCUAGAAUUCACAGGUACUUCUUAGUUAAAUUUAAUUUAAAACAUAUUUAUUCCAG